CCUACGGGAGGUAGCAGUGGGGAAUUUUCCGCAAUGGGCGCAAGCCUGACGGAGCAACGCCGCGUGAGGGAUGAAGGCCUCUGGGCUGUAAACCUCUUUUAUCAAGGAAGAAGAUCUGACGGUACUUGAUGAAUAAGCCACGGCUAAUUCCGUGCCAGCAGCCGCGGUAAUACGGGAGUGGCAAGCGUUAUCCGGAAUUAUUGGGCGUAAAGCGUCCGCAGGCGGUCUUGUAAGUCUGUCGUUAAAGCGUGGAGCUUAACUCCAUUUGAGCGAUGGAAACUGUAAGACUAGAGUGUGGUAGGGGCAGAGGGAAUUCCCGGUGUAGCGGUGAAAUGCGUAGAUAUCGGGAAGAACACCAGUGGCGAAGGCGCUCUGCUGGGCCAUAACUGACGCUCAUGGACGAAAGCCAGGGGAGCGAAAGGGAUUAGAUACCCCUGUAGUCCUGGCCGUAAACGAUGAACACUAGGUGUCGGGGGAAUCGACCCCCUCGGUGUCGUAGCCAACGCGUUAAGUGUUCCGCCUGGGGAGUACGCACGCAAGUGUGAAACUCAAAGGAAUUGACGG
rnacentral:rRNA from 1 species